UUGAACGCUGGCGGCAGGCCUAACACAUGCAAGUCGAACGGUAACAGGAAGAAGCUUGCUUCUUUGCUGACGAGUGGCGGACGGGUGAGUAAUGUCUGGGAAACUGCCUGAUGGAGGGGGAUAACUACUGGAAACGGUAGCUAAUACCGCAUAACGUCGCAAGACCAAAGAGGGGGACCUUCGGGCCUCUUGCCAUCGGAUGUGCCCAGAUGGGAUUAGCUUGUUGGUGGGGUAACGGCUCACCAAGGCGACGAUCCCUAGCUGGUCUGAGAGGAUGACCAGCCACACUGGAACUGAGACACGGUCCAGACUCCUACGGGAGGCAGCAGUGGGGAAUAUUGCACAAUGGGCGCAAGCCUGAUGCAGCCAUGCCGCGUGUAUGAAGAAGGCCUUCGGGUUGUAAAGUACUUUCAGCGGGGAGGAAGGGAGUAAAGUUAAUACCUUUACUCAUUGACGUUACCCGCAGAAGAAGCACCGGCUAACUCCGUGCCAGCAGCCGCGGUAAUACGGAGGGUGCAAGCGUUAAUCGGAAUUACUGGGCGUAAAGCGCACGCAGGCGGUUUGUUAAGUCAGAUGUGAAAUCCCCGGGCUCAACCUGGGAACUGCAUCUGAUACUGGCAAGCUUGAGUCUCGUAGAGGGGGGUAGAAUUCCAGGUGUAGCGGUGAAAUGCGUAGAGAUCUGGAGGAAUACCGGUGGCGAAGGCGGCCCCCUGGACGAAGACUGACGCUCAGGUGCGAAAGCGUGGGGAGCAAACAGGAUUAGAUACCCUGGUAGUCCACGCCGUAAACGAUGUCGACUUGGAGGUUGUGCCCUUGAGGCGUGGCUUCCGGAGCUAACGCGUUAAGUCGACCGCCUGGGGAGUACGGCCGCAAGGUUAAAACUCAAAUGAAUUGACGGGGGCCCGCACAAGCGGUGGAGCAUGUGGUUUAAUUCGAUGCAACGCGAAGAACCUUACCUGGUCUUGACAUCCACAGAACUUUCCAGAGAUGGAUUGGUGCCUUCGGGAACUGUGAGACAGGUGCUGCAUGGCUGUCGUCAGCUCGUGUUGUGAAAUGUUGGGUUAAGUCCCGCAACGAGCGCAACCCUUAUCCUUUGUUGCCAGCGGUCCGGCCGGGAACUCAAAGGAGACUGCCAGUGAUAAACUGGAGGAAGGUGGGGAUGACGUCAAAUCAUCAUGCCCCUUAUGACCUGGGCUACACACGUGCUACAAUGGCGCAUACAAAGAGAAGCGACCUCGCGAGAGCAAGCGGACCUCAUAAAGUGCGUCGUAGUCCGGAUUGGAGUCUGCAACUCGACUCCAUGAAGUCGGAAUCGCUAGUAAUCGUGGAUCAGAAUGCCACGGUGAAUACGUUCCCGGGCCUUGUACACACCGCCCGUCACACCAUGGGAGUGGGUUGCAAAAGAAGUAGGUAGCUUAACCUUCGGGAGGGCGCUUACCACUUUGUGAUUCAUGACUGGGGUG
rnacentral:rRNA from 1 species